UGGGGAAUUUUGGACAAUGGGCGCAAGCCUGAUCCAGCCAUUCCGCGUGAGUGAAGAAGGCCUUCGGGUUGUAAAGCACUUUCAAUUGGGAGGAAAACCUAUCGAUCAAUACCCGGUAGCUUGACAUUACCUUUAGAAGAAGCACCGGCUAACUCCGUGCCAGCAGCCGCGGUAAUACGGAGGGUGCGAGCGUUAAUCGGAAUUACUGGGCGUAAAGGGCGUGCAGGUGGCUUGUCAUGUCGGAUGUGAAAUCCUGCGGCUUAACCGCAGAACUGCGUUCGAAACUGGCGAGCUUGAGUGCGGAAGGGGGGGGUGGAAUUCCCGGUGUAGAGGUGAAAUUCGUAGAUAUCGGGAAGAAUACCGGUGGCGAAGGCGACCGCCUGGUCCGCAACUGACACUGAGACGCGAAAGCGUGGGGAGCAAACAGA
rnacentral:rRNA from 1 species